CGCGGCCUAUCAGCUUGUUGGUGAGGUAAUGGCUCACCAAGGCAUCGACGGGUAGCUGGUCUGAGAGGAUGAUCAGCCACACUGGGACUGAGACACGGCCCAGACUCCUACGGGAGGCAGCAGUAGGGAAUAUUGCACAAUGGGCGAAAGCCUGAUGCAGCAACGCCGCGUGCGGGAAGAAGGCCCUAGGGUUGUAAACCGCUUUCAGCAGGGAAGAAAAUGACGGUACCUGCAGAAGAAGGUGCGGCCAACUACGUGCCAGCAGCCGCGGUGACACGUAGGCACCAAGCGUUGUCCGGAUUUAUUGGGCGUAAAGAGCUCGUAGGCGGUUCAGUAAGUCGGGUGUGAGAACUCUGGGCUCAACCCAGAGACGCCACUCGAUACUGCUGUGACUCGAGUGCGGUAGGGGAGCGGGGAAUUCCUAGUGUAGCGGUGAAAUGCGCAGAUAUUAGGAGGAACACCAGUGGCGAAGGCGCCGCUCUGGGCCGUAACUGACGCUGAGGAGCGAAAGCGUGGGUAGCAAACAGGAUUAGAUACCCUGGUAGUCCACGCCGUAAACGUUGGGCACUAGGUGUGGGUCUCAACCAACGAGAUCCGCGCCGUCGCUAACGCAUUAAGUGCCCCGCCUGGGGAGUACGG
rnacentral:rRNA from 1 species